UAUUCCUAUUUUUUCUAGAAUUUCCUAAUAGAUUGAAUUUAGAACGGUAUUUUAGUAAUUUCAAAAUAAAUCUGAAAAUUGAAUCAUAGUAAAAAAUAAAUAAAUAAAAGCCCUUAUUAGAUAUUAUCCUCAUUCACAUAGUUCCAUCCUUUUUUAUUUACUAGUAAAGAACCCGCGCUUCGCGGCGGAUAACCAAAUAAUGGUUAGUGUAUCUAAUUUCUUGUAUUAAAAUAAAAAUCAAAAAGUAAAUCUAAACAGAACUGAUAUAAUAAUUUGUUAAGCGAAUAACAAAGUGCUUACAAAACAAAUAUUAGAAGUAUAUAAAUAGAAAAUUUUAAAUUAUAUUUAACUACAUGCAGACAUGUUUAAAGUAGUUAGAUUAGUGGAUAACAAAGUGUCUAUUUAUAAAUAGAACUAUAUAAAUAGAACUGCAAUUCUUCAUUUCUGACUUCAUCUGCUUGAGGAGCUUCAUCAAACCUACAAAUCAACAAGAAUAAUAAUUAGAUAUGUUUUUUUGGUAUAAAUGAACAGCACGUGAUUAAAUACGACAAUUAAUUUACGUAAGACAAGUUGGGUCAAGUCGAUGUCUUUUGGCAGGUUGCAUUUCAGAUAAGUCCUCAGCAAGUUGUUCAGAACUGUUCAUAAAAAAAACACAUGAAAAAAUUUUAAAAAAUUACAUUCUCUCAAAAUAUUCUAAUAAUAGAAUUUAUAGCUGAAUUACCUAGUAUGAUGUCCAGAUCCCAAAAGCCAGUAAGUAUAGAAUGCAAAUUAAUUUGGAGAUAUAGCUAAGACAUUGCCAGUGUAUUAGUUUCAUCAAAAAAUGAGUUAUAGACAACGAAGUAAUACAUUUUUGUGUAGCAAUUUGCAAACAAAAGAGUCAAAUCUAAUCAGCUGUUUCAAUAGUUCAGACAUGCGCACGCACACACACAUGCAUCUCUCUCUCUCUCUCUCUCUCUAUAUCUAUACUAUUAUAUAAAAGCACGUAUAUUCAAAUUUGGGUCUGUCGACAGACCCAUAUUUCGGCGGGAAAAUUAGCGCCCAUUUUUCUCUUUCCGUACAAAAAAAAAUUUAAAUAUAAGAAUAAAAAUAGAAACCCUAAUGCAUACGUAUGUUCUCUAUAACCGAUUACUUAUAUUUUUCUAUUUUAUUUUAAAAUAUCUUUUUUAGGUAUUAUCUAUUUAAUUUUAAAAGUAAGUUUUCUAUAACAGAUUACGGGUGUGAAAAUCCUAUAAAAGAUAUUUUUCAAUUUAUUUUUAAAAUAUCUUUUUUUUGAUAUUUUUAGUAUGAAAAUCCUAUAAAAGAUAACGAAUUUUAUUUUUUCUUUUUUAUAUUAAUUUUCGAAUUUCAAAAUAUCUUUUCUUUUUAAGAUAACAGAUUUUAUUUUUCUAUUUAAUUUCAAAAUAUAUUUUUUUUUACAUUAAUUUCUGCUCAAAUGUAAUAUAUAAAUUUAACAAAUAUUUAUAAAUUUUUGAAUAAAUAUGAUUUACAAAUAUUUAUUGAUUUAAAAUAAAUUAAAAUAAUUGUUACGUGCAGUUGCACGUACACUCAACUAGUAUAUAUAUAUAUAUAUAUAUAUACUAGCGAUGUACCCGCGCUAACGCUACGGUCUACGGUGCACCAGGUGCACCGUAAAUAAUCGAAAGACACGUGGCAAUAUAUGAACCUAACUCCACGGACUUUAGUAUAUAGUAAUAGAUAGAUAUAAAAGAGCAACAAUUAACACACACAAAACAAAAACAAAAAACCUAAAUAAGCUGAGGCUCAGGUAUUAUUUCCAUCCAACCUUAAAAUAUAGGUUCAGGAGGAUACAAUGAAUAGGAAGAGUUGGUUGCCUAUAAAUUAGGCCAUCCAAAACCCUGUUCUCAUUUAACACAGCAAGCACAAUUGGAGAUUACACCCACCCUUAGGUAUCGUUUGGUUCGGGGAUAAGCCAAAAGUGACUAUUUCAGGAAUAGAUAUAAAUUGAGGCAUAAGUGGGGAUUAGAUCAAUUUUGCGUUUGGACGAAAAUUUGGUUAUUCCUGGAAAUAAAACAAAUAGCGUUUGGUUAAAUAAGAUGGAAUAAGAAGGAUAGGCUGAGAAGGAUUUAAUGAAUAGGAAGAGUUGGUUGUCUAUAAAUUAGACCAUCCGAAACUCAUUCCUCUAUUUUUCAAUCACCAUAGCCUCAAAGACAGUAGUCAGGAGAAUUAGAGAAAAUAACGAAUUCCAAGAGUUGAUUGCCUGGAAAUUAAAACAUCCAAAACUCUUCCCUCAUUUUUGCAGUCAUUACUGCAGCAAAGACAACAGUUAGCAUGAUUGGAAAUUAGAGAACCCAAAAUUCAUCCGUCGUUUUGUUAGUAGUGUAAAAACAAAACACACACCACACACACACCAUGUAAGGGCUGAAUCUAAUUAGUUACUUUCUUCUCUUUUUUUUUUGAGAAAGAGGUAGCAAGCUACCUGCUUCAUUCAUUAAGCGAAAUAAAUUUAGCGUACAUAAUGGAGACAGCUAAGGCCUCCUACAGAAACCGGCAAAACAACAAAAAAAAUAAUAAAAAGCAGUAUAGAUAUGUAAACAAAAGCCCGACUUGAGCUAUUAAAGAGCAGUUACGGGACAAUCGCCUCGGUCCAAGUCUUCGUUAGCGCAGCUAUCCGUCCAAUUGCACGGGUAGCGUUCGGAGUGUCCUCGUUGAAGACGAUCUUGUUGUGCUCCAUCCAAACUACCCACCAGAUUGCCGCCAACCGUGUGAACCUUAUCGAUCUUUGUUCAGCAUUAGGGGAGUCCGCAGUGUCGGUCCCAAGUUGCUUAACGUCCCCUGUUCUUAAAUCGCUGACACCCAAUCCAUCAACGCUAAUUUGGAGGUAUCUAACAAAAACGCAAUCCUUGAAAAGGUGAUCGCAAUUCUCAGGUGAGAAUGAAUAGAAAAUGCAGUACUCAUUCACCGGGCACCCUCUGCGUAUCAGUCUAUCAGCGGUAAGUAAUCUCUUGCGUAGUAGGAUCCAGAUGAAUAUUUUGNUCGCAGGUUUUCUCCUAAUUCAAUUUCCAAGUCCAACAUGUAUAACCUACUUAAUUUAUUACCACAUGCUCCAAAUUCAGAUUUGCAAUCUACAAUAUAAUCCAUGAAUUCGAGCUAGAAUAGAGUAUCCAAAAGUCGAAAAUAUACAUGCUGACGAAUAUGAACUUAGGAGUAAAAACCGAUGUAACCCACCUCGACAGCGACCCACGCACCGGCGCGACGUCGAGAACGACGAAAAUGCACCCUCGCCCGGCCUCCAACGGCACUACCACGACGCACGCACGCUCCAACGGCUCGCAGGCGCGAAGUUGACGUCGCUCCAAUCUCCAACUAUAGCCUCCACGAGUUCUCCACUUCCAACUAGAGAGAGAGGGAAAUUACAAAUCACCACUAUCCCUCUGUAGGCCACAAGAUAAGGAUGCAUAGGGGGUGCACGUGGCAUCCAAAGCCACCCCCAUGCAUCACCAACCGACUAAAAAAAUUUUAAAAAAUAAAUAAAUAAACAAGGGUACUACAUAAAGAGACUUAGAUAAAUAGUCAAGCUGCAAAUAAAGGCUGAAUAGAGGAGCACACCUUUCUGUAACCAUUUUGCAAACAAAGGGUUGAAUCUAAUUAGUUACUUUCAUAGUUCAUUUAACACACACACAUAUAUUUAAGUAUCUAGCUAAUUAGUUACAUUCAUGAUCAUAUAUAUAUAUAUAUAUAUAUAUAUAUAUAUGUAUACACACACACACACCACACACACACACAGAGGUGUAUACAUAUAGAGUUGAGCUGGAAUGCUAUCGGUAGCAAACGGGCUCCGUUGCCACCCAUUGUUUUCGAUGAUAGAGCUUUCAAAUCGACGAUCGGCACCGUUGAACAUGAUCUAUAUCACUUGUAGUAUUUAGAAAUUAAAUUUCAAAUCUUUUCGACAUCAUUUACCUAAUGAUCAAAGGGUUUCAAAAUUAGUAAUUUUAAUGGUUGAUAUGAGGGGUUUUCUCGUUUAACGGUGUAAAGCUAUUCAAAUCAAUUGAAUUUUGGUUAGAAAAUUCUUUAAACUAUUUAGAACAAGAUCUAUACUCUCGAUCAUGAUUACAAAAUUUCUAUCAUCACUUUUUAGAGGAUAUUCAUUUUCAGCCAUUCAUUUUUACACCCACUUGAUGGACAAGAAAACAAUAUCGGAAAAGUAUGAAAUUUGAUUUCUAGAUACUUCAAGUGGUAUAGAUCAUUUUCAACGGUACCGAUCGUCGAUUUGGAGGCUCCAUUAUCGAAAAAAAAUGGGUGGCAACGGAGCCCGUUUGCUACUGAUAGCAUUCCAGCUCAACUCUAUAUAUAUAUAUAUAUAUAUAUAUAUAUNNNNNNNNNUAUAUAUAUAAAUAUAUAUAUAUAUAUAUAUAUAUAUAUAUAUAUAUAUAUAUAUAUCUCAGGCCGAUGAUAUGAUAGAUAUCAUGCCCUCGAGGGCAUGAUAUCAUAACAAAAGCUAGAAGCCCGCAAGUUUAGUUGCUAGGUGUGGCAAUUUUAACUAGAUCCCAUAAAUUUCAAAAAUCUUUAUUUUAAAAUAUAAAAAAGCUGUAUCAAAUGAAAUACUAGUUUUGUAAAGUUUUAACAGUUUAAAGUUACCGAUAAUACUGCUCAAACCUCAAAUUGCCACAUCUUCUUAGAUUUAAAGAAGUUUAAAACUAUCUUUUAAGAAAUUUGAUAUAUCUAAUUCCAAUUGUAAGAACUAGAACUUAAAUUUUCAGGAUACGAGUUUAAAAUUUCUCAUAAGUUAAGGGUGGCAGAUAAAACUGUAUUAAAUAAAUGAUUCAUUUGCUAUAGCUUUUCUUGAUUUUAAAAUAAGGACUCUUGAAGUAUAUGGGAUCUAGUAUAAAUUGCCACACCUAGCAACUAAACUUGCGGGAUUCUAGCUUUUGUUGUGAUAUCAUGCCCUCGAGGGCAUGAUAUCUAUCAUAUCAUCGGAUUAAGUAUAUAUAUAUAUGUAUAUAUAUAUAUAUAUAUAUAUAUAUAUAUAUAUAUAUCUCAUUCCGAUGAUAGGAUAAUCAUCCUAACCCUGGGAACAGGAUAGUUCAGCUAAACUAACUAGCCUUGAAGUUUAACUAUUAGCCGUGGCAACUUUAACUAGAUGUAUUAAUCUUUACAAAUCUUUGGUUUAAAACAUUAUAAAUUUUUAAUAAUAGUUCAAGUAGAAUUUUCAACUUUUUACUUGCCAGUAUUUACUUAUUGGAAGAAUUUUAUCUCCAAUCUGAAAGAGUUGAAUAUUAGUCUCAAUAGUUUGUAAUAGAUUUAUCAUAUUUCUUAAAAGAUAUUUUUUAAGUUCCUUAAACCUAAUGAGAUGUGGCAAUUUGUUCGUAUACCGAGUAUAUCCGGCAGUUUUUAACAGCUAAAAUGUUGUGAAACUAGUGGUACAUUUAUUAAAAAUUUUAAAUACUUUAAAUCAAAGAUCUAUAAAGUUUAUGAGAUCUAGUUGAAGUUGCUGAGGCUAGUAGCUAAGCCUUAGGGAUAGCAGUUCUUGUUAAACUAUCCUGUUCAUGAUGAUAGGAUAAUUAUCCUAUCAUCGGGAUCGUAUAUAUAUAUAUAUAUAUAUAUAUAUAUAUAGAGUUGGACUGGGCUACUAUUAGUUGCAAAAUUCUAUUGUUGUUACCAGUUUUUUAGCCUUUGGAUCAACUCUUUUCAUCAUUUGGGACCAUUCAACCCUAGGGGGACCACUCAACUCUAAACUGACUAAUAUCAUCUUAAUCCUACAAUUUUUCAUCCAAGGGUUAAAAACUUGAUAGCAAAAAGAGGGUUUUACUAUUAACAGUAUUCCAGUCUAAUUCUAUGUAUAAAAGUAUAGAUGCAACCUAAUUUGCUUAAAUAUAGACCGAGAAGGAAACAAUGUAUACCAAGAGUUGUUUGACUAUAAAUCACACCAUCCAAAACGCAUUACCUCGUUUUUUCUAUCAUUACAUGAAGCAAUUUGUUCCAGAUUUCAUCACCGUGUAAUUAAGUUCGUGCAAGGGAUAAGCAAUUUCAUAAAGAGCGCCGACAGACAUAGUCAGGUAACAUAUAAGUGCCCUGCAGCCUGCAUAGUGCCUUAAAGACAGCAGCCAGCAGAAGUGGAGUGAAGAAAAUAUAUUCCAAAUUUCGUCAUUGUGUAAUUAAGAUUGCGUAUGGGAUAAGCAAUUUCAUAAAGAGUGCUGACAGACUUAGCCAAGGAACAUAUAAGUGCCCCGCAAUUUGCAAGGGAAGACUAAAACCCAUCCUCUUAAGUGUAGGUAAGUAGCAAAAAACAAAAGGAUGAUAAAGAAAACAGGGAAGUUGCAAGCAGUAUAGGCGUGCACACACACACUCACAUAUAAGUAUAGAAUGCAGCCUUAUUUAGGGAUGUUAAUGGAUAUGGAUAUCCGAAAUUUUAUCCGAACCCGAACCGAAUAAAACGGAUAUAUCCGAUGAAUAUGGAUAUAAAAAAUAAAAAUCCGACGGAUAUGGAUUUUGAUUGUACCCGACCCGAAUCCGAACCCGACCCGAAACCAAAUUUAUUUUAUAUUAUAUAUAAUAUAUAUAUAAAAAUUUGAUGUUAUAAUUGAAUUUGUAUUUUAAAAAUUUAGAUUUAAUAUAAUAUAUUUUGAAAUAUUAAAAAAAAAAUAAUUAUUUCGGGUUCAAAUUUCGGGUUCGGGUUCGGGUUCGGGUUCGGGUUUCGGAUUUUUGGUCGAGUUCGGGUUUGGAUAUGGAUUUUUAAAAUCCGUCGGGUUCGGGUUCGGGUUCGGGUUCGGGUCUUGGGUUUGGAGUCGGGUUCGGGUUCGGGUUUUUAAAAAUCCGACCUGUUGACAUCUCUAGCCUUAUUUGAGACUUAGAUAAAAAGUCAAGUUGCAAAUAAGGAGAAAAUGAAGGAGCAAACUUUUUCUGCAGUAAUUUGCAAAUAAAAGGCUGUAUCUAAUGAAGCACCAAAGGAGGAGCUGAUAGCGGUUGCCCGCAAGCGGGGCCGUCCAAAUCUGCUCGGCAAUGGCAAAGCCUUUGUCUCACUUGCAUAUCACCGGGGCCAAAAAAAAUUUUAAAAAAGCCACCAAUAAUUUUAAAAAAAGGAACGAAAGCAUAAGACAUCUCCACCAAUAAUUAUAAAUUGUAUAGAUUAUCCCACCUUUAUAUUUGAGAACAAAAACAAACUAUACUGUUCUAAAAAGCUUAACCUAUUUAUAGAAAAAUUAUAGAAGGUCAGAAGAGAAGAGAAGAGGAAGACUUAAGACAUCUCCACCAUCUCUCUCAGUAGAUUCAAAAAAUUAAGAAAAAAUAUAGCUAUCACAUCGUUACUGUCGAAUCAGUGGGCUGGCAAAGCCCUCGGCGAGCGUAGCAACCGGGACGAACGGAUCGGCCAAGUAGGGUAGGUGUAGGAGGCCCUAAUCAUGAUGUCUACCGAUGGACAGCUCAGGCAUCGGAGGAGCGGAUGGAGGAGAGGAUGGAGGUGAGAGAGGAGAGAGAGAGAGAGAGAGAGGUGCUUUGGGCAUCGGAGGAGGCACGCGCAAGGAUCGCGCGGAGGGGAAGGGGAAGAGAGCCAUCCGAUCAACAAAAUGGAGGGUGUAGAUUCA
rnacentral:lncRNA from 1 species